rnacentral:rRNA from 1 species
CCCUUAGAUGUUCUGGGCCGCACGCGUGCUACACUGAGUGGAUCAGCGGGUCAGGUUGCGCGAAAGUGUUUCCUAAUCUUGAAAUCCGCUCGUGAUGGGGAUUGACGGUUGCAAUUUUCCGUCAUGAACGAGGAAUACCUUGUAAGCGCGGGUCACCAUCCCGCGCUGAAUACGUCCCUGCCCUUUGUACACACCGCCCGUCGCUCCUACCGAUUGAGUGGUCCGGUGAGGCUUUGGGAUCUGAGCAAAAAGAGCGUUUCGCUCGUUUGGCUCGGAAAACUCAGUCGAACCUUAUCAUUUAGAGGAAGGAGAAGUCGUAACA